AACUCUUUUUAUCUGUGCUGAGAUUUCGUCAGAAAUCAGUCCAUUAUGGCUGAUACAACUUCCCAAAUAAGUGAAGUG
rnacentral:pre_miRNA from 1 species